GAUCUGUGGGACAUAUGGGCUGUAAGAGCAAGCUGUCUCCAUAGACUGUGCUAAUGGAUCCUCUUGAAACACUUGUCUGAGUGUAGCUAUUGUGCCAGCUGCUUGAAAAUAAGUGGAAGAAAAGAAGUCUUACUGAAGAGUCUGUGGUCYGAUCAGAAGAGAGUGAAUUGCAGUCAUUACCUGCAUCUCCAGAUACCAGAUCCAUCUGUGGCAGGCGUUAGUGAGGGCACCUCCCUGUCAGCUUCUUAAAGAGGACAAGCAAGCAAGAGGUUUCCAGGGGAGCAUUUGUUUUACUAGGACAAGUUCAGCAACCCAUUCCUUGCCUUGCAGAGCUGCUCUGUAACCAGACUAGCAGGCUGCAUGGCACACAGGGUAAGAAGACAUUGAAUUUUGUUAAUAAGGACUCUCUUAUUGACUUUCUUUGUGCAGGUUUGGGUUCAUACAACUCUAAAGUUUUUGAGUUUUUUUGGCGUUACUUUGUUUCACUGUUGCAUAAAUGACAUUUACGGUUGUGUUUGCCAGAAAGCCCUUCAAGGGUUUUGAUGCAGAUGAGCUCCAUUCCCUUGUUCCACUCUUCCAUUGCUUGCUCUGCCCUUGCCUUCCCAAGUCACCGUUGCGCUUGGUUAUUCCAAAAGCAUCGGGCAGAGCAGAGGCAAAAGGAAGCACAGACAUUCCCCACUGACCAUCCCUGGGCCUGUUCUCAGCACAAGUCAGAGGAUGUUUAACAGGGAAAACUUACCCUCGCUCCCAUCCCAUAGGAACAAGAACUAAGAAAAGAUAUUCUUAGCAACAUGACACCAUGCCUAGUAGGAAAAUACCUUAGCUCAAAUGCAUUUCAAAAAGCAGGCUGUAUGUGAUCGUGCAUUCUUAUUAUUUCAUUCUCUCUUCUCGCUAAUGAACUAACAGGAGUUUUAUCGUGGCAGACAGUGCUUGACUGCCUGCUGCUCAUCUGAAAGUGCUGCUGUAUCCUACCCUCUGCAGCUGCCUCCAGGCUGCCAGUGAAACUUCACAGACUCUAAUUGUUUGGGUCAUAUAUUAACCUUUGGUUUACAAAGGAGGCUAAAUAAUCUGAAAAUUUCCAUGGCAUGCCUGCUGACUUUAAUAGCCUAUUAAGGAUUUCAGGUAGUUUGUGACUUCACCCUAUUUUUUCUGUACUAAUAAUAAGGAAAAAAGUCAAUACCGUCACAAAUUUGCAAUGGAAAUUGGAGUGAAUAAUGGGUUGGUGAGGCAGAAGUCAAGGCUGCUGGCAGAGGGGGAAAAAAUAGGUGGCUAAUUUUUGGAGAUAAUGUGACUGAGUAACUAGAAGGAUGCUCUGGGGUUAGGAAGGUUGGCUGUGGUUCCCUGAAUGUCCUUCUGUGCCAGCCCUCUGAGGGCUCAGCUAUCAGCAUCUUUCAUUAGACACUAAAAAGCCUGGAGCUAUUAGAUAUUUAGGGUUAACCUCUCUGGAUACUGGUUCUCUGUUUAUAAAAUGUAGAUUACUACAGUUUUGCAGUUCUGUUAAAGUGGCUGGAAGUGUCCUAGCAUAUGAUUAUUAGCUACUUUUAUUUUAAGAUAAAUUAAAGAAGUGACGUGCUAGACUAAUGCUUAAAGUCAAACUGAUUUAACUUGCUGAAUCUUGCAGAAACAUGGGAUAUAGAUAGCUGCACCAGAGAGAAGGACCACUGGGGAGACAGGGGUUGAUGGAAGCUGCUUCUCGAGAAAUUCUGUAGAUUUAUUAAAACUUCUCAUCAACAGCCUGUUGGAAAGUUAAUUUUACCCAGGUUUGUUUUUGUGCUUCCUUCAUCAGUUAAGAAAAGGACCUGAGGACAUCAGAACUGAAUAUAGGAAAUAAUCGGUUCAUGUUGAUACAAUAUUUGUUAUUUUUAAGUAGCACUGACCACAUGCUCACAUCUGAAAAUGGCCAUUGUGAGGAAAACAGCCAACRUGCAGGAGGUUUCCAAACACCUCUUCUGCUAGGUGUUAGGUUAAUUAGAUUUUACAGAGGACAUAUCAUAGAUGAACAUGGAUGGUGAACACUUGCAUUGGGAGAUCAAAGAGCAUCUCAUUUGUGUUUUUCAGUGCUUGAGCUUUUGUCAGCAUCAGCUGUGCAGUGUGACAAAAUCA